AUCAGAAAUCUCUAUGUGAUGCUUUCCAGGGCCCAGCCCUCCAACAGAACAGGAUUGACAGGGCAGGGUGUCCACAGCUGGUUCCCAUCAACUGCAGAGAAAAGGCAGGCAGCCUGGAGAGAGGGGCCAUGUCCUCUUCUUCCCUGGAAAAGUGAGGCAACUAAGGCCCAGACAGAAGAACUGAUUACUUAAAGACACACACACAGAUUAUGUGUAUAUAACUCAGGACAGUGUCUGGCACAUCGGAGCUGCUUGAUGAACGUUCAUGACUAAUCCAAGAGGCACUCAGUGUUCAAAGGAGAUCAGGAAGCUUCUUCGCCCAUUGGAAGACACAGAUCCGAACUAGCCACGGAAUCUGAGGAGGCAGAGUCUGGCUGGCUCCAGCCUGACAGCUGGCCCCAAGACCCCACCAUUCUCCCUCAUUGCGCUGGCAGCCAGGGAUCCCUGAAAAGGAAGAACUGAGAAAUUCUUCUUCAUAAAAGGCCUUGAAUCAAUGAUCAAGGACAAUAUUAAUCCCAUCCUGACACAUUUUGAGCGGAGUCAAGCAAUAUAAGGGAGAAAUUUGAUUUAUCUCUUUGGGACUGGGCACAAGUUAUAAAAAUGGUAAUUUUUUCCAAGAGAUUCAAUUAUGGUAUUUUCAUUGUUAUCCCUAGGUAAUCAUGAGAAUGGUUUUUAAAGACCAGUUGCUGGAGGAUUGGGAGCAAAGUGGCAGCAGGAGGGAUCAGGAGAUGCUGCGGACACCCCAAGCCCCAUCUGUGUGGGAAAGAAAUGCUUCCUGGGGGCUUCAGGUUGGCAGAUGGCGGCACCUUUGGCCUUGAUCCCUUUGGUCAAUUCAACACCUACUGUAUGAGAGCCCUGUGGAGGGUCCUGGGGAGGGUUCAUAGAGGGUCUUUUCUGGAAGGAGUCCUAGAACGGAGAAUGCCAGUACGGAGAGACAGACCUCUGAGAGGCGACCCUCAUUUCACAGAUGCAGAAAUGGAGGCUCAGAAAGGAGGCAGCAUGUGCCCGAGUCCCCGCCACCCCCAGCCGGAUCCUUGGCACUGUCCUGAGCUGGCCUAACCUGUUUAUAUCUGUUUGUUUCUUGGAGAUGGUUGGAGUGGAGCUGAUUGGAUCUGCCCUGAUUAUUUCUGCGCCCAGAUGUAAUGACUCCACAUAAAGUCCCUGAGAUUAAUCAAGAAUGUGAGGAAACCGGCACCUGAUGAUUGGAAAACGGGCUUUAUGGCCCAUGGGGCAAAAUUGAACUUGCAUCUGAUGCACGUUUUUAAAAUAGAAUUUUUUUUUAAUAGAUUGCCUACAAUUUAUGUUUGGCGUUAAUUGUGUUAUCAGUGGGAAAUUCAUUGGAAGCCAUGUUUCCCUCUCCACCCCAGCAAACUUGAUUUUUCAAAAUCAUCUUCAUCUGAGACAGGCGUGCUAGGGCCUCGGGCAGCUGAGGUGUCUGAGCCAGAGGUGGCAGGUGGCAGGAUUAAUGUCAAGGUCAGUCCCCAGUGGGGGAUUCCAUUGCAGCAUGGCUCAGGCUAGCUGGCUGUUGGAAUCCACAGCCACUCAAA